UGGCAGGUCAGCAUACUGCCGUGAAUACGUUCCCGGGCCCUUGUACACACCGCCCGUCACACCAUGAGAGUUGGAGAUACCCGAAGCCUGUGAGCUAACUUUUAGAGGCAGCAGUCGAAGGUAGAAUCAAUGAUUGGGGUGAAGUCGUAACAAGGUAGC
rnacentral:rRNA from 1 species